rnacentral:rRNA from 1 species
UACGUAGGGGCCUAGCGUUGUCCGGAAUUAUUGGGCGUAAAGAGCUCGUAGGCGGUUCGGCAAGUCGGAUGUGAAAUCUCCACGCUUAACGUGGAGGGGCCAUUCGAAACUGCUGUGACUCGAGUCCGGUAGGGGAGUGUGGAAUUCCCGGUGUAGCGGUGAAAUGCGCAGAUAUCGUGAGGAACACCAGUAGCGAAGGCGGCACUCUGGGCCGGUACUGACGCUGAGGAGCGAAAGCGUGGGGAGCGAACAGG